UUUUGAUGAGCCCUUAGAUGACGAGUCUGAUUCUGUCUGGACGAGGUUUCCUUGUCCUGACAACCCGUGACGAUCCAUCAAAAUUUAUACCAUUCAUGCUUUUCUGACU
rnacentral:snoRNA from 1 species